AGGUGUAGCGCAGAUGGUAGCGCGCCUGCUUUGGGAGCAGGAUGCCGCAGGUUCGAAUCCUGUCACCU
rnacentral:tRNA from 2 species